AACAAGACUCAACAGUAUCUUUCUUCCUGCUACUCUUGCUUCAGACACCUAACUUAUCUCAACCAGCUGUUUAUAACCCAUUUGGGUUCAUGAAGGCUGUCUUCCCUGGCUACUCCUCUGGCAGUACACAAGAAGGGGUCAUCAACAAUGGAUCCUACCUCACUCUCAAAUAUUACUGGUUUGUGGUUUCUGGAUCUCUUAUAAAGAGUGGUUUCUUACAGCAAGCAACAAGGAAUCUUCAUGCAAGUUUUCCAAUAUGAAUCUGUUUAUGGCCCCUUGGUUAAUAGAUGCAAGAUGGGACCCCCAGAGUAAGAAGAAAGAAUUCUGUGCAUCUUGGCCAGCUGCUGUUUCUCACCAGUUCCCACACUCAUCCACUUGUUCUCUUGUCAGAUGCCCUGAAUGUGCUCACCUCCUGACACCAACUGAAUUACACAAAGACUGAAUGGGUCUUACCUUGAAGAACCAAACCAGAUUUCUCAAUGGUGUAGAGGAAAGCUGAGAAUGGAGCAACAGGGGAUUUAGCGACCAGGAUCUGCAGAACAAAUAAAUACAAACGAUUAAAAAUCC